AGCAUUGACCCACUUUACGGGGAGAUGUUGCAAACUGUCCACGACAACCCACAGGUCACUGUCACGAUAAACGAUAUCCCCUCAAACUGCACUGGGGAUUGUGGGUACGAAUGGAUGUCGAGCCGUACCCCAGUAAUACAAAACGUCACACUUCUGCAAGACCUGUCUAACACAACAAUCCAGAUAACCGGUAC